AAAGGGAAGAGAUGAGAGAGAGGGGACCUACCUUGCGAUGGGAGGGUAGUCGGAGGCGGCUUUGUUGGUCGCCGAUUGUUUAGGACCGUUAGAAAACGGUAGUUACCCUACAAAUAAAUUUUGCCCCUAUUUCAAGAAAUUUCGUACAAAUACGCACAGAUAUAAACCAUACAUUUUUUGUCGCAGUCAUAUUUCAUAACAAGAAGGUAGUAACACAACAACAAAAAAAGAAAAAGAGAAACAUUUCCCUUCUGUCACUAACUUCCUCUCUAACUGGCAGCUCCACCAUCCCACUCAUCCUACACAAGUAAAUUUACUUGAGAAAAGGGCAAUUUUAUUUCAAAUCUAGCACAUGGGCUGAAAACUAAAUUUGGAAAAGAAGAUAUGAAACAAAAUUUGAUUUAUAUUUUCUACAAAUAUUAGGCCAAAUCAAAUAAAUCUCCGGUAUGUUGAGGGUCCAUGAAAACCUUAUAUUGCUUUAGGCCCCUCAUGACCUGCAUUGUCAAAGACAGCAUUCGGUAAAGUUGCAUCUGAUCAUGAACCACCAGUUCCAGAAGCACCCUCAGUUUGUUUUUUCUCCCGUUGUUUCUCCCGUUUUUUCUUGUUUUUCAAUGCAUUCUUGCUCAGCUCCCUAUAUUCAUGUGAAAUACGGAAUGAUGUAUAGCAACUUAAUAGUUUGAACAUCCGAAAUAUUACAAAAGAAAAACAAAAAAAGAGGAAAAGUGCAUUGAAGCUUACCCUGAAGAACUUCCUCCAAAUAACUGUCAAAAUGAAACAGAUGCUUACUAUUAGCAUACUAGUGGCGCAAACUAAAGGAGAAAAAUAUAACUGGAAAUAACGCAUGGAUGAACUUUCAGAUGACAUGUAUAUACAAAUUAUGACGUUUUGAAAGUAGCUAAUAAACCAUCACGUUGUUACCACAUUGCAAGUUUAUCAUCAGAAUGUGUCCCGUAAAGGUAACUAUAUCCUUGUGCAGUAAACAUAUUUUUUCGAAAAGUUCUGCGUUGAGAUUAACUUCUGAAGAAAUGUUUCAGAGAAUAUCUAUAUUAUUCUUUGUGAAAUCCUAUCUCUAAGUAUUUUUAUCCAUAUCCUGAAAAUAAUUAUGUUUGUUUUCCAGAACAAAGUCUAUUCAGAAAAGCAGUAUCUUUUCAGUUCAGGAAACCUUCCAAAGCUUUUUUAUAUUCAAAUGGGGUAGAGAUCAGUGAGUGAGAGAACAUAUUUGCAAAGUUCAGGAUCCUCUUGCCCGGGCAAAAAGAAGAGGAAUGAUCAAGCAAGAAGUGCCAAAUGUGUAAUUUAUUAUCAGUUCCAUCGCGUUCAGCCCCACCUAAGAGUGGUAUCUUUUUUAGUUACAUAGAGAAAAUGAAUUAUAAUAAAAUUCACAACUUGUGUAUUUGCUCCCUCCAAAUGGUAGACUGUCUAACCUCACCUUUUUUCUUCUCAUUUUCUAAGGAAGAGAGUUCUAAAGGAAAAUGAGCUGCCAAUAAAGAUUGGACAGUAAUAACUGAAAUAUCAGAUUUGGCUUUAAAAUUUCAGGAAAUGUUUUACAGAAAAGAAGGAAAGAUAAAGAUCCAUGUAAUUACUUGUAGAAUAAUUAAGCUCAACACAUCUAAUGCAUUAUUACACACCUAAGUUCCUUUUAUUCUCUACAGGUUGAUUGCUAUCGAACUAAACCAUAUGAAAUUUAUAGAGAACAAGAGCUAUUCAUAUUCGAUAAAGGACCUUAAUAUUCUUUUGGGAUUCAGUCACCUACAUGUCUUAAGGAGUCAGAAAUAGAGUUCAUCACAGAAAGGUAGAGAAGGGACGCUUCAUUCAAGAAAAUUAAACAUGCAUUUUGGGCUAGCCUUUUUAUUUUUUCUUAUUAUUUACCAGCAUUAAAUCCAAUUCACAAUUGACAUGGCAUUAACCAUUAUGAGGAUAAUGUUAAGUCCAAAGAUUGGGUAUAUGGAGUAACCAUUCUAGCCAAAUUGUGGGAAGAGAAUAUCUUAACAAUAGCAAGAGUAUGAAAAUCGAACACCUUUACUUUCUUGAAACUUUGUUACAAUAUAAUAUUACUGAAGA
rnacentral:lncRNA from 1 species